AGUUAAAUAGCACAAGAAAGCAUAAUGUCUUGAAAACAUUAAGAAAGAAGUUAAAUCCUUCUAUUAACUU
rnacentral:tRNA from 1 species